GAUCCAGCCGGGGCGGAGCCGAGAGCUGGGAGCCGCAGCUCAGACGCUAGGCGCUCACAGCUAUGCGCCCGGGGUAUCGGAGCGCUCGAGGGUCGCCGGCGUUGGGGCUGCUGCUGCUACUGCGACUACCGUGGCCGGUGUGGGGGGCUGAGGCGUUUCAAGGAAACACCCCUGGAGAGCCAGUCAUCCUGCACUGGGUUCUGGAUGGACGACCCCGGCGCAUGGUCACCCUGGAGCAGCCGGUCUCGAAGCUAGAAGUGGGGCUGGUGGCCUUGAAGGCUGAAGGUCAGGAGCUCCUGCUAGAGCUGGAGAAGAAUCACAGGCUGCUGGCUCCAGGAUACACAGAAACCCACUACAGCCCAGAUGGGCAGCCAGUAGUGCUGUUCCCCAACCACACGGAUCAUUGCCACUACCAUGGGCGUGUGAGGGGCUUCCUGGACUCCUGGGUAGUCCUCAGCAUCUGCUCUGGGAUGAGGGGCCUGAUCACACUCAGCAGCAAUACCAGCUAUUAUGUGCAUCCCUGGCCAGCUGGGGACUCCAAAGACUUCUUGACCCACAAGAUCUUCCGGACGGAGCAGCUACUCAGCUGGAAAGCGGCCUGUGGCUACAGGGACCCAGGGGACAAAAGGGACAUGGCCAGCCUUUCGUGUGACACCCAGAUCAGGGAGAGGCGGGAGUCCCUGGGGAGCCCGAGGUAUCUGGAGCUGUACAUAGUGGCGGAUCACACUCUGUUCUUGACCCAGCACCGGAACUUGAACCACACCAAACAGCGUCUUCUGGAGGUCGCCAGCUAUGUGGAUCAGAUUCUCAGGACUCUGGACAUUCAGGUGGCGCUGACCGGCCUGGAAGUGUGGACCGAGGAGGACCAGAGCCGCGUAACGCCAGACGCGAACGCCACGCUCUGGGCCUUCCUGCAGUGGCGCCAGGGACUGUGGGCACGGCAGCCACACGACUCGGCUCAGCUGCUCACGGGCCGCGCCUUCCAGGGAGCCACCGUGGGCCUGGCGCCGGUCGAGGGCAUGUGCCGCGCGGAGAGCUCUGGAGGCGUGAGCACCGACCACUCGGAGCUCCCCAUUGGUGCUGCAGCCACCAUGGCCCACGAGAUAGGCCACAGCCUCGGCCUCAGCCACGACCCCGACGGCUGCUGCGUGGAGGCAGCGGCGGAGCAGGGCGGCUGCGUGAUGGCCGCAGCUACCCGGUACCCGCGCCGGGGCGGGGGCGGGGCUGCAGGACAGGCUCCGCGGGACUCGCCUUCCUCAGCUGCAUUUCUUUGGGCGAAAUGGCACCCGUUCCCGCGAGUGUUUAGCGCCUGCAGCCGCCGCCAGCUGCGCGCCUUCUUCAGGAAGGGAGGAGGCUCGUGCCUCUCCAACGCGCCGGACUCCGGGCUCCUGGUGCCCCGGGCGUACUGCGGGAAUGGCUUCGUGGAAGAGGGCGAGGAGUGCGACUGCGGCGCCGGCCAGGAAUGCCCGGACUCCUGCUGCCUUGCCCACAACUGCUCGCUGCGUGCGGGGGCCCAGUGCACCCACGGGGACUGCUGCGCACACUGCCUGCUGAAGCCGGCGGGUGCGCCUUGCCGCCGGUCUGCGGGCGACUGUGACCUCCCUGAAUUCUGCACGGGCGCCUCCCCCUAUUGCCCCCCAGACAUUUACCUACUGGACGGCUCGCCCUGCGCCAGAGGCCGCGGCUACUGCCGGGACGGCGCGUGUCCCACGCUGGAGCAUCAGUGCCAGCAGCUCUGGGGGCCUGGCUCCCGCCCAGCCCCGGAGGCCUGUUUCCAGGUAGUGAACUCUGCGGGAGACGCCCAUGGGAACUGCGGCCAGCAGGGCGACAGCAGCUUCUUGCCCUGUGCGCAGAGCGAUGCGCAGUGUGGGAAACUGCAGUGCCAGGGCGGGGAGCAGAGCGCACUGGCGCCACACAUGGUGCCGGUGGACUCCACCAUACCCCUAGGCAGCCGCCAGGUGACCUGCAAGGGAGCCUUCGUGCUGCCCGGCACCCACCUGGACCUGCCUGAUUUGGGCCUGGUUGAGUCAGGCACCCAGUGUGGACCUAGAAUGGUGUGCCAGGAAAGGCGCUGCCAGAACACUACCUUCCGAGAGCUGGACCUCUGCCUGACCACCUGCCAUGGUCACGGGGUUUGCAAUAGUAACCAUAAUUGCCACUGUGCUCUGGGCUGGGCUCCGCCUUCCUGUGACAAGCCAGGGUUUGGUGGUAGUGUGGACAGCGGUCCUAUGCAGUCUGAAAAGCAGGACACCUUCACGCUGGCGGUGAUCCUUAGUUUUCUGCUGCCUCUGCUUCCUGGGGCUGGUCUGGCCUGGUGCUGCUGCCGGCACCCGGAACUCCGUCUCCAACAAUGCCUUUGGGGCUCAAGGAGGGACCCCAUGUGCAGUGGACCUUGAGAACUCUGCCAGAGCCCAACAGCCACCUUGAGAAGCCUGUGCCCCAUGGCCCUGCUUGUACCCCCAAGUAGGUAGAGUCCAACAGCCAAGAUCCUGUCUCUGGUGAAAAGUGACUCCUGAGAUGAGAAGACUUAAGGACAGGUGGCUACUGACAGCCACACCAAGAACUUGGACCCCGCCCCUCAGGGGCAGAGCCAGCCAGUCAGCAGACCUCUUGCACCUUCAGGCAGCUUCGAAAUUUCUUCCCUGAGUUACCGCCACACCAGCUACUCCAGGACCCUGGAGCCUCAUCAAAAUUUCCUCAGUGCUGUCCCCAUUCCUUAGGGCUGCGGGAUCCUGCUAGGGUACACCCUCCAGCUCAAGCGAGAAUCCAUCAGUCCCAGGAGGGAAGGUCAUGUAGUCACUGACCUCCCGUCACUAGGGGGCGCUGGGUCAUGCUGGGCACCCAGAGAGGCCUCUGUCCAGGCAGCCUAGGUGUGUCUGCUACACUCACUUUAUUCGGACCUAGCUCUUUGGAGGACAGUGACUGCUGGGCCAGAAGCCUGGACUCCAGGGGCCCUACAUUUCAGACUGAGUCUACUUCCCUGGAGCCUGGCCCCUGCAAAACAAACAAACGAAAUCCUUGGGACCUUCCUUCCUGCUGUCUCCUACCCUCUCUUGUCCCUCAGAUGCUUCCUUAGCCCUACCCCACUCCUAGUCCUUAGGUGAGGUUUCAGAGACGCAUGGGGCCUGCUGCAGUCCCCUUACUUUGGACAUUAAUCAGCCUCUCCUCCAUUCCAUGGGAGGGGACAAAGGAAGCCAUUUUGGAAAGGACACCAAAGUAGAAGUCAGAAGAAAGACAUGUUGCCCUGGGACUUCUAUCUUUUCUGUCUGUAAAUUCAACACCAUGGGGCUCCCUGAGGGUGACAAAGGGUGGUGGCUGGUGGGUGGAGCCUCAGAUGACAGCCAGGCCCCGUAUGUAUCGGGGCAUAGGAUGGUGUUGCCUAGCUUGAAUGUUCCCUUUGCUCCACCUCUCCUGCCUCCCCUGGACACUCAGCAGCCAUUUACUCUCUCCCCUUGCUUCAUGCAAAAGUUGCUGAGUGACCUUCUUUAUCAGCUAGCUGUUGCUACAUAACAAGACCACCCCAAAACUUAGUAGCUUAAAACAAUAACCAAUUCUGUGAAUUGGCAAGUCAGCUGGUGGUUCGAUUGGUCUCAGCUCAGCUCAGCUCACUUAUACAUUUGCAGUCAGCCGCUGGUCGCUGCUUCUGGGGUUGGCUGGCUGUUGGCUAGGGUGAUGGGGAUGAGCGGGCUAGCCCAGGCCUGUUCACAUAACAGUUGGGGAGGGUUCUAAGAGAGCAGGACCAGGAUUAGAGUGAGACAAGGGAGGUAUUCACCUUGGGCACAAAAAGUAAUCAAGAUAAGAGAUAUUUUAAUGUAAUAUUUUUAAAGAUAAAAAUUAAUACAAAAGUCCACGAUGAACAAAAUAUCAAAAAUUUAACUAAAGACAGGAUCAGUUACCAUACCAAGGCAUUUUUGGAGCCUGAGGAAGAAAGAAAAAUCAGUAGUUGUGAUUCUGAGGCAAGUACCUCACUCACCUCCUCUUGCAGAAGAGUAUGUGGAAGCUUGUCAGGCUUCUUGAGAGUCCAUGACUGGCACAUUUUACUUCCAUAACAUUCUGUGGGCCCAAGCAAGUCACAGGGCCAGCCCAGGUUCCAGGGAUUGGGAGGCAAACUCCACCUCCCCUCCAGGGAGGAGCAGCAAAAUCAUAUUUCAUAGGGUGUGAAGAACUGGGGAAUUUUUGCAAUCACCCACUGGCAGCAGAGAAGCAGCCCCAAGGCUCAGGCCUUGCUUUCACUCUACCAGCUGAAGGCGCUGAAUGAGACUGUCUGCUAAAGCCCACUCCUGUGUUCGCUGUGGGAUUCUGAUUUAUAGAGAUGACAUAGCAAUGAGACAGAGAAGUUAAUGCCAUUGAAAGAAGUUUUUAUGGCUUGCAUUUCCCUCGAGAGGGGGACUGCCCACCGUGCAGGGCAACAUAGGGAAGCACCCAGUUUGCAAGGAAAGACUGAGGAACUACCACAGACUGGAAGAAACUAAGGUGACAUGACGACUAAGUGCAAUGUGGGAUGCUGGAUGGGAUCCUGGAACAGAAAAAGGACAUUAGUGGAAAGACUGGGGAAAUUCAAAGUGGUCUAUAGUUAAGUGUCUUGUACCAACAUGAAUUUCCUAGUUUUAACAAUUGUACUAUGGUCAGGUAAGAUGUUGAUGUUAGGGGAAACUUGGUGAGGGAUAUAAAGAGAACGCUAGCAUUUUUGCAAUGCUCUAACUUUUCUGCAAGUCUAAAAUUAGCUAAUAAAAAGUUAACAAUAAAACUAUAAAAGAAGGAAAAGAACAGUGUUGUUUCAUAGAGUUAAUGGUUUAGCGUGGGAGAGACAAGGUCUCCUUGGGUUGUUGUGUGGGCGUUGCUGUGUGUGUGUUGGGGGGUGUGGUGGGAUCCAUCUAGGCACAUUCAGGCGCUGGACUCAGUGGCUCCCAGAUCUGCGUGAAGGCGCAGCCUGGGUGGGGACUCAUUGGGGGCGGGGAGUCAUUCCUGAUGCAAAGGCUCCUCCCCCCAGAAGAGCGCAUCAGCGCAGA